rnacentral:rRNA from 1 species
GAUGAACGCUAGCGGCAGGCUUAAUACAUGCAAGUCGAGGGGUAACAGGUGUAGCAAUACAUGCUGACGACCGGCGCACGGGUGCGUAACGCGUAUGCAACCUACCUUUAACAGGGGAAUAGCCCCGAGAAAUCGGGAUUAAUACCCCAUAACAUUCAUCAUUCGCAUGUUUGAUGGAUUAAAGCUCCGACGGUUAAAGAUGGGCAUGCGUGGCAUUAGUUAGUUGGUGAGGUAACGGCUCACCAAGACAGCGAUGCCUAGGGGUUCUGAGAGGAUGAUCCCCCACACUGGUACUGAGACACGGACCAGACUCCUACGGGAGGCAGCAGUAAGGAAUAUUGGGCAAUGGACGCAAGUCUGACCCAGCCAUGCCGCGUGCAGGAUGACAGCCCUACGGGUUGUAAACUGCUUUUGUAUAGGAAGAAACUUUCGCACGUGUGCGAAACUGACGGUACUGUACGAAUAAGCAUCGGCUAACUCCGUGCCAGCAGCCGCGGUAAUACGGAGGAUGCAAGCGUUAUCCGGAUUUAUUGGGUUUAAAGGGUGCGCAGGCGGAGUAAUAAGUCAGUGGUGAAAUCCUACGGCUCAACUGUAGAACUGCCAUUGAUACUG